rnacentral:rRNA from 1 species
GAUGAACGCUGGCGGCGUGCCUAAUACAUGCAAGUCGAGCGAACGGACGAGAAGCUUGCUUCUCUGAUGUUAGCGGCGGACGGGUGAGUAACACGUGGAUAACCUACCUAUAAGACUGGGAUAACUUCGGGAAACCGGAGCUAAUACCGGAUGAUAUUUUGAACCGCAUUGUUCAAAAGUGAAAGACGGUCUUGCUGUCACUUAUAGAUGGAUCCGCGCUGCAUUAGCUAGUUGGUAAGGUAACGGCUUACCAAGGCAACGAUGCAUAGCCGACCUGAGAGGGUGAUCGGCCACACUGGAACUGAGACACGGUCCAGACUCCUACGGGAGGCAGCAGUAGGGAAUCUUACGCAAUGGGCGAAAGCCUGACGGAGCAACGCCGCGUGAGUGAUGAAGGUCUUCGGAUCGUAAAACUCUGUUAUUAGGGAAGAACAUAUGUGUAAGUAACUGUGCACAUAUUGACGGUACCUAAUCAGAAAGCCACGGCUAACUACGUG